CAUCUGCCCGUCUCAAAUUCUCGUGACGAAUAUGCGUAGUUUCAACCAAUAUACAAUGGUUUAACAUACUGCUUAUUGGCUAUCACCUGGAUUAUGUUGAGCCCGCAGGCCCAAAGUAUUUUGAAAGCGUUAUCGUCAACUGCAAGGGCUAUUUUUAUUUACCCAUUUUCUGACGUGAAGUACAUUAACCAAUAAGCUGAUUGGUAUCCUCGCUUUUGGUUAGAGGCUACACGCGUAUAUUAGGAAAUUUUACUAUAUACGCGCGAGGCACGAGGCGAUAUAGAGCUAUAGAUAUAUGACACAGUCAUACAUAUUUGUGGUUUUACUACCUACAAUAAUAUAUAUCUCAUAGUAGAACAUCAUGUCGUGUGUAUUCUCGGAUUUACUUAUGGACAACAACCUCGAUACCACCAUGACUAACAACAUGAUGAGUCAAAACAAUAUGGAAGAAAAAGAUAUGCUCAACGCUGCUCAAAAAUGCAUGGAAACAGGCGACAUGAUUCCCAUCUUGAAACAAGAAAUAAAAUAUUCCAUCAAGUUCCGGAGAUUCACAGAAGGGAAAGAAGAAUUACAAAUCGAACCUACUGUUGAAAAGAAAAUGGAGUUAACUGAACAUGAGAUUGAGAAAAAGAAAAGAAGAAGAGAGCAGAACCGUUUAGCUGCUCUCAGAUUCCGGCAGAAAAAUAAAAACAAAGGAAGUACCCUAAUGAAGGAUAUCAAUAAGCUGCAAGCAGAACACGACUAUCUAACAAGGAUACAUGGCGAAUUAUUGGCAGAACGCGAGUCACUGGUGAAAAGAUUAACAGAACAUUUUCAGAUAUGUGCCUUUAGACCAGUAGAUACCGAUCUACAGAUGCUAUUUUCCCGCCUUUGAAGCACGUGUCAAUUAAGUCACAUUACCUACAUGUAUGAUUUGAUUCAUGGUAUAUAAUACAUAUUCUUUUAAAAUUCCAACCAUAUGAGUAAUUAUCGACCACUUUAUUUUUAAUCCUCAACUUUUAUUCAUACAAACUAUAUAGUUCAUAGGCAUAACGCAUAACAAAAAUCAAAGACAAACAAAAAACCCACAAGAAAAAACAAAAACAAACACACAUCAACCCAAAUACCGGGAAUAUGUAAAUAUUUACAAAUAUGUAAAUAUUUUGUGUAUAUAUAUAUAUAUCGGAGCCAAUUUUCAGAGAAUAUAAUCGGGCAUUAGUUGAAAUCUAUGUCUGGGUAUAAUUUAUUCGUAUAAAUAUUAAAGAUAAUUACAAAUAUAAUAUUAUAUAAGCUGCGUGUAUAUAAUUAAGUGUAUAUAGAUCAGUAAGUCAUUAUUUCAAAGCCUGAUAUAUUUUUAUUCAGACAAAUUAAUAUACUAUUCAUUAUUCUUAUAUUAUAAAUGAUAAUAGAUAAGAUAAUUAUACACAAUAAACGGUACAUAUAUGUGUUAACUUGACCUAUCGUGUUGAACUAAUGAAUUAAAAUUGGGCUCAUCACGAUGUGUAUGUGUGUAUUUAAUUUAUAUAAAGAUGUACGUUUCUGUUUAAUUUGUAUAGUAGCUUACAAUCAGAUGUAAAAAUAGAACUGUCAUUUAAUGCUCCUGUGUGCACCGUUACAUCUAUUUUAACUGUAUUUCAAUCACCUUUCUGCAUCCAAUUUUCUAAAAAUAAACUAGAAAUCAUAUUAUAGAUACGAACCCAAAAGCUUAAUAUACUUCGCAAUCCUAGCCAAUUUCUAUUUUGUUUAACGAUGAUUUAAUGUUCAUGCAAUGUCUUCUAUGUUCUUGGGUUAUCAUAGAUUAAGUCCUAAUGUAUAUAAAUGUAUCUUAUUUGUAUAUAAAUUACUGUUUUUGUACAAAUCAUUUGUAUUAUCCAUUUAGUUGUUUGUUAUGUAAUUGAAUUUUUAUUUGAUAUUGCUAUGUAUUUAGGUUAAAGGUUAUAAGCCUACCUCUGAAAGUAUUGCGUUUAGCAAGCAAGGUUUGAUCUCGUCAAGUUUUUUUUUAUAUUACUUUAUCAAUAUAAUCUACAUGUGAUCGUUUAAGGGCCAGAAGGGUUAUCAUGUAUUUUAAUUUGAUCGUUAUUGAUUAACACGUUUAUUAAGUAAUUCUCGGUUGAGUUUUACUUCUUCAUCGAUAAUUUUCGUAAGAUGUUCAUAUUAAGUUUUUGUCCCAAACGAAUAGUGAAGUUUGACCAGAUAAUAAAACUGAAAAGUUAUACUCUAA